UACAGAGGGGGCAAGCGUUGUUCGGAAUUAUUGGGUGUAAAGGGCGCGUAGGCGGUGCGGUAAGUCACUUGUGAAAUCUCUGGGCUCAACUCAGAGUCUGCAGGCGAAACUGCCGUGCUUGAGUGUGGGAGAGGUAUGUGGAAUUCCCGGUGUAGCGGUGAAAUGCGCAGAUAUCAGGAGGAACACCUGUGGCGAAAGCGGCUCACUGGACCAUAACUGACGCUGAUGCACGAAAGCUAGGGGAGCAAACAGG
rnacentral:rRNA from 1 species